CCUACGGGAGGCAGCAGUGAGGAAUAUUGGUCAAUGGUCGGGAGACUGACCCAGCCAAGCCGCGUGAGGGAGGAAGGUACAGAGUAUCGUAAACCUCUUUUGUCAGGGAACAAAGGCGGGGACGUGUCCCCGGAUGAGUUUACCUGAAGAAAAAGCAUCGGCUAACUCCGUGCCAGCAGCCGCGGUAAGACGGAGGAUGCGAGCGUUAUCCGGAUUUAUUGGGCUUAAAGGGUGCGCAGGCGGCGAGUUAAGUCAGCGGUAAAAUUUCGGGGCUCAACCCCGACAAGCCGUUGAAAUUGGCUGGCUAGAGUGGGCGAGAAGUAUGCGGAAUGCGUGGUGUAGCGGUGAAAUGCAUAGAUAGCACGCAGAACUCCGAUUGCGAAGGCAGCAUACCGGCGCCCAACUGACGCUCAGGCACGAAAGCGUGGGUAUCGAACAGGAUUAGAUACCCGUGUAGUC
rnacentral:rRNA from 1 species